UCAAUCUGUAUUCAAAUUAGGUUACCUUUGACCAUUAAUGAAAUAUUCCAUACUGCUUUAAUUUAUUACCUAUCCUCUAAGAAUCUGCAAAUUAACUCUUGCAGUUGUUAUAUACACAUAUUACAGAUGAGGUUUUUAUCCUUUGAUACUUAAUAAACAUUAAAAUGAAUAUCAGUGCUUCAUUCUUCAUUUUUCUUCUUUUUUAGGAUACCAUGGCGAAGCGAAAUACUGUCAUAGGAACUCCCUUUUGGAUGGCUCCUGAAGUCAUUCAAGAAAUCGGGUAUGACUGUGUAGCAGAUAUGUGGAGUUUAGGUAUAACAGCUUUAGAAAUGGCAGAAGGCAAGCCACCAUAUGGUGACAUCCAUCCAAUGCGGGCUAUCUUCAUGAUACCUACAAACCUCCCCCAUCAUUUCGUGAGCCAGACCAAUGGAGCCCAGAAUUCAUUGAUUUUGUCAGUCAGUGCCUAAUAAAGAAUCCUGAGGAGAGAGCUACCGCCAGUCAAAUGUUACAGCAUGAAUUCAUCGGUAAUGCCAAAGCAUCAACUAUUUUGAGUACAAUGAUUCAAGAAGCAAGAGAAAUACGGGAGAAUCAAAGCCUUAGGAAUAAUGUCGCAGCAAUGCAGGGUAAAAGCAAUCUUGUAGAGGAAGAUGAUACGGAUAGUAAAACUUUAGUGCCUGACUCAGGAACGCUCAUCAACGAAAAAGGUGGAACAUUAGUCAAAGGGAGCACGCUAGCUGAAGAGUUAGGAACGAUGGUUCAUCAAUAGCGAUACUGAUGAUGAAUCAACUAUGAAAAGGCAUGAUACGGGACCUGGCGAAUCUGGGAAAAAAUAUAGACCUCUGUUUCUAGACCAUUUUGACAAAAAAGAAUCGAAGACAAUUAAUGUAAGUAACUUCUUCAAUUUUAAUAUCCACUGAUUUAGCGCUGCAACAUAUUCUCACGGGGGGAAAAAAAAAUCACUAGAAUAUUCAAAUAAAUGUUUCAUAUUCAUGUGGACAUAAGAAAAUUGGAUAAAGUUCAGCUCUAUUUCUUUAGAAUAGCUGCAAUUAAGGAGGGUCGUCCCGUGCUCCAGUGUGACCAUGAUUUUACAGAAAUAGCAGAGCAAGUAGGCGUAUGAAGUAUUGAUCCUAAGUCUGAUUAUUUAAUUCAAUGUUACUCUAUUAAAUUCUGAAUGAUUAAUUGAUAACCUAUCUCAUCUCUGCUAUCAAGUUUAAAUGUUACU
rnacentral:lncRNA from 1 species